UUAAAAAAUUAAGAAACUCUUAAUUUGAAAAUUUCUGAUUUAGUACCAUUCAUGUUGAAUAUCAGCAGAAGCUCAAAAACUUCAACUAAUUUUCACAUCAACUAUUACACAAUUGUUGCUUGUCUGCUCUCUGCUUUCUAAAAAGUACUAUUAAUUUUUCUAACAAUCCCUAAAUUCUACGUUAGUCAUUUCAGCAUCCAAAGCUCGCGUCUACUCUAAGGGUUAAACACUCACGAUCACACUUUUUUCAAAAAAUCUUAUCUACUCUAAACAACCACACACAAAACAAAUAAACGUCGAACAUCUGAAAAAAUCGCUCGUAUUUCCACAGAAAUAAAGCACGAAAGGAAUUAAACGAAUCAAUCUAUAUCGAAAAAUGAAACAAGAUCCACAGAAACAACAAAAUGGCGUGAACAACGGAGCACACGGAGGUGUUAGUCUCCCGAGGCAUCCAGUGAGACAGCAUCUCUGUUUUUCAUUUUCCUUUUUUUGGAAAAACCAGAAAUCAUUAGAAGGCAAGAAAAUGGCUCGACAGAUCCUGAUGGAAAGUUUUGGAUGAAGAAGCAGGAUAACUCGUGGACGGAGCGGUCUUUACCUCCUGCGAGCUUUCGUCAUAGGAGGAACACGAUCAGGACGAAGAGGGCAUUCAUCAUAAAAAACGCGAACACGCUCUGGUCACGGAGGUCCUUUAGAUCUUUGGCGAUUCGGGCCUGAUGCAAGCAGCAUUCAUCCGUUAUUCAAUUAUUUGAUUAGGGGUUUGUGGUAUAUCGACGAAUAUAGACUGAGAAGGUCUCUUCCGGGUUUUGGGAAGUGCAAUAUUAGCAUUCGUCCACUUGAUGGCACCACAGCUGUCGUAAAUAUUAUGGAUACGUUCUGGAGCUUUUUAUUAGGGGAUAAGGUUAGGUCAAUAACUGAGGUGGAGUUAUAUAAUACAAAUAUAUGACUUCUAGAGAUUGUGCUAUAAACAGAUGAUUCUAUAUGCAAAUUGAUUAAGUAAUGCUUUUGAGGAAAAUGUAUUUGGUCCUCAAAAUAUUUGACAGAAGUUUUUUGUUAAUUUAAUAUUUGAGGAAAAUCGUUUAUCAUUUUUUAUGAAAUUGUUAAUAAUAAUAUACUAAUUAUUAAAGUAUGAUGAAUAUACAAGUAAUAUCAUAGGGAGCACUGAUUUAUAAGUUUUGAAGGAAGAAAAUGUAUUUGGUCAUCAAAAUAUUUGACAGAAGUUUUUUGUUAAUUUAAUAUUUAAGGAAAAUCGUUUAUCAUUUUUCAUGAAAUUGUUAAUAAUAACAUACUAAUUAUUAAAGUAUGAUGAAUAUACAAGUAAUAUCAUAGAAGACACUAAUUUAUACAUUUUGAAAGAUUAUUAAUAAUGAUUAUUAAAUUCAAUUCUCUUAAGCAAAUAUGACAAAAUAUUUUUCAAUUUCAACUUAUUUCUUUUUAAAAUAAAAUUUUUUGCUGGGAGUAUCAUCAAGUGGACAUACUACUUAUUUUCACCCUGUUCUCAUUGGUUGUUCUUGUAACUAUUCUUGUAUUUUUUGUAAAAGUGUCUAUAUUCGUUGAUAUUAAUUUUGUGUCAUAUUUUUAAAAACACGUUAUUUCUUAAAAUUGUUGUAAUAAUUUCAGCAACAUUUAGAUUUAUACUUAUAUAUUUUGGUUUCAAUU